rnacentral:Y_RNA from 3 species
GGCUGGUUUCAGUGCAGUGGUGUUAACAACUAAUUGAUCACAACCACUAUAGAUUUCUUUAUUCCUUUUCCAUUCCCACUGGUUCACUUAGCUAGCCUUUC